rnacentral:rRNA from 1 species
CAGCAGCCGCGGUAAUACGGAGGGAGCUAGCGUUGUUCGGAAUUACUGGGCGUAAAGCGCACGUAGGCGGCUUUGUAAGUUAGAGGUGAAAGCCUGGAGCUCAACUCCAGAAUUGCCUUUAAGACUGCAUCGCUUGAAUCCGAGAGAGGUGAGUGGAAUUCCGAGUGUAGAGGUGAAAUUCGUAGAUAUUCGGAAGAACACCAGUGGCGAAGGCGGCUCACUGGCUCGGUAUUGACGCUGAGGUGCGAAAGCGUGGGGAGCAAACAGGAUUAGAUACCCCCGUAGUCCCUGUCUCUUAUAC